rnacentral:rRNA from 1 species
GAUGAACGCUGGCGGCGUGCCUAAUACAUGCAAGUCGAGCGAACAGACGAGGAGCUUGCUCCUCUGACGUUAGCGGCGGACGGGUGAGUAACACGUGGAUAACCUACCUAUAAGACUGGGAUAACUUCGGGAAACCGGAGCUAAUACCGGAUAAUAUAUUGAACCGCAUGGUUCAAUAGUGAAAGACGGUUUUGCUGUCACUUAUAGAUGGAUCCGCGCCGCAUUAGCUAGUUGGUAAGGUAACGGCUUACCAAGGCAACGAUGCGUAGCCGACCUGAGAGGGGGGUCGGCCCAACUGGAACCGGGACACGGGCCAGGCUCCCAAGGGGAGCAGGAGGUAGGAAACUUUCGCCAUUGGCGAAAGCCUGACGGAGCAACGCCGCGUGAGUGAUGAAGGUCUUCGGAUCGUAAAACUCUGUUAUUAGGGAAGAACAAAUGUGUAAGUAACUAUGCACGUCUUGACGGUACCUAAUCAGAAAGCCACGGCUAACUACGUG